rnacentral:rRNA from 1 species
GUGAAGCCCAGCUUGCUGGGUGGAUCAGUGGCGAACGGGUGAGUAACACGUGAGCAACCUGCCCUCCACUUCGGGAUAAGCCUUGGAAACGGGGUCUAAUACCGGAUAUGAGCUCGCAUCGCAUGGUGUGGGUUGGAAAGUUUUUCGGUGGGGGAUGGGCUCGCGGCCUAUCAGCUUGUUGGUGGGGUGAUGGCCUACCAAGGCGUCGACGGGUAGCCGGCCUGAGAGGGCGACCGGCCACACUGGGACUGAGACACGGCCCAGACUCCUACGGGAGGCAGCAGUGGGGAAUAUUGCACAAUGGGCGCAAGCCUGAUGCAGCGACGCCGCGUGAGGGAUGACGGCCUUCGGGUUGUAAACCUCUUUCAGCAGGGAAGAAGCGCAAGUGACGGUACCUGCAGAAGAAGCGCCGGCUAACUACGUGCCAGCAGCCGCGGUAAUACGUAGGGCGCAAGCGUUGUCCGGAAUUAUUGGGCGUAAAGAGCUCGUAGGCGGUCUGUCGCGUCUGGUGUGAAAUCCCGAGGCUCAACCUCGGGCUUGCAUCGGGUACGGGCAGACUAGAGUGCGGUAGGGGAGACUGGAAUUCCUGGUGUAGCGGUGGAAUGCGCAGAUAUCAGGAGGAACACCGAUGGCGAAGGCAGGUCUCUGGGCCGCAACUGACGCUGAGGAGCGAAAGCAUGGGGAGCGAACAGGAUUAGAUACCCUGGUAGUCCAUGCCGUAAACGUUGGGCACUAGGUGUGGGGCUCAUUCCACGAGUUCCGUGCCGCAGCUAACGCAUUAAGUGCCCCGCCUGGGGAGUACGGCCGCAAGGCUAAAACUCAAAGGAAUUGACGGGGGCCCGCACAAGCGGCGGAGCAUGCGGAUUAAUUCGAUGCAACGCGAAGAACCUUACCAAGGCUUGACAUGUACGAGAAAGCCCCCGAGACGGGGUUCUCUUUGGACACUCGUACACAGGUGGUGCAUGGUUGUCGUCAGCUCGUGUCGUGAGAUGUUGGGUUAAGUCCCGCAACGAGCGCAACCCUCGUCCUAUGUUGCCAGCGGGUUAUGCCGGGGACUCAUGGGAGACUGCCGGGGUCAACUCGGAGGAAGGUGGGGAUGACGUCAAAUCAUCAUGCCCCUUAUGUCUUGGGCUUCACGCAUGCUACAAUGGCCGGUACAGAGGGCUGCGAUACCGUAAGGUGGAGCGAAUCCCAAAAAGCCGGUCUCAGUUCGGAUUGGGGUCUGCAACUCGACCCCAUGAAGUCGGA